UACAGAGGGUGCAAGCGUUAUUCGGAAUUAUUGGGCGUAAAGAGCGUGUAGGCGGUUUGAUAAGUCUGAUGUGAAAGCCCUGGACUCAAUCCAGGAAGCGCAUUGGAUACUGUCAGACUAGAGUGCAGGAGAGGUGAGCGGAAUUCCAGGAGUAGAGGUGAAAUUCGUAGAUAUCUGGAGGAACAACAGAGGCGAAGGCGGCUCACUGGACUGUAACUGACGCUAAGGCGCGAAAGCGUGGGGAGCAAACAGG
rnacentral:rRNA from 1 species